UGGAUCGAUGAUGACUACUGGUGGCGUAUGAGUCAUGAACGAUGAAUACGUGUCUGGAACUCUGAGGUCCAA
rnacentral:snoRNA from 1 species